UAUGCCGAUUUGCCGCCCUCUUCUUACCUGGAUUUUCCGCCCCGGUGGUUUCGUCUUCCCAAUCGCACAGCCACAGCCUCCGCCGCACCGCCGAGCUACAUUGUGAUAUCUGCAAGGAAAGGUGAGUUUGAAAUUGUAUAUGAAAGAGGUGGACAAACAUGUGAGCAUGUUCAACUUGCAAAGACUCUUGGAGUUACAAAGCUCCUCAUUGUUGUCAAUAAAAAGGAUGAACCCACUGUCAAUUGGUCAAAAGAAAGGUAUGAUGAAAUUGAGGAAAAAUGUUACUUUUUUUGAAGUCAUCCGGAUAUAAUGUGAAGAAAGAAAAUGUCGGUUCCAUCAGACCUGCAAAAAGUGUUGGAUUAACUGUGAAGCAGGCUGGUGUACUAUUACUUGAUGAAGAUGGAACUACUGUUAUGGCAGAAGAUGUUGUUAAUGGAGAUAAGGAGCUCAUCCUUUCCCUGCUAUGAAACAUGUUUGUGCACUUGCAGAUAAGUGUCUAACUGACCUCAUCUCUAAGAUUUUUUCCUAUCUGGUUGAGAAGCCAGAGACAUUUGAAGAGGGUGUCUGAAGGCAUAUAAUCUGGAUGAAGACCUAGCUUUCAAAGGACUCUUUGUUGUGCUUCUGUACGAAGAAGAGGAAUGUGAGAUGGGUUGAGUCCAACCGUAAUAUUUGUAGAAGGAGGCUGCAAUGGGAGGUCUAAAAAGGAUCAAACAUUAAUGAAUCCAAAUCAUUAUGUUGUACCAGUUAUUCUUCCAAUAAGGUGGCUAAAGCUGAUGAUAGACUUCAAAUUGUAGUGUAUUAAGUAUUCUUUUAUUCUGUUAUUACUUUAUUUGG